AUUGAACGCUGGCGGCAUGCCUAACACCUGCAAGUCGAGCGAGCGGCGGACGGGUGAGUAAUGUCUGGGAAACUGCCUGAUGGAGGGGGAUAACUACUGGAAACGGUAGCUAAUACCCCAUCCCAUCAGAUGUGCCCAGAUGGGAUUAGCUAGUAGGUGGGGUAACGGCUCACCUAGGCGACGAUCCCUAGCUGGUCUGAGAGGAUAACCAGCCCAACUGGAACUGAGACACGGUCCAGACUCGUACGGGAGGCAGCAGUGGGGAAUAUUGCACAAUGGGCGCAAGCCUGCUGCAGCCAUGCCGCGUGUGUGAAGAAGGCCUUCGGGUUGUAAAGCACUUUCAGCGGGGAGGCGUUACCCGCAGAAGAAGCACCGGCGAACUCCGUGCCAGCAGCCGCGGUAAUUC
rnacentral:rRNA from 1 species